rnacentral:piRNA from 1 species
UAGAAAAACAUAAAAUCGACA